AUGCGUGCGCGCGCGCGCGCACACACACACACACGUACAAAAGUUGAGGCCACCACAUCUGCCUUCCCCAGAUGGGGUUCCCUGCGCAAGAGUCUCCUCCCGCUCCAGGAUUUUCCGACGCUGGCGCAAGCUCCUCCCUUGCCGGAGCCUGGCUCCAGUCCUAGCACAGAGUGUCCGCCCGAGCAGGGGCUGGGGGGCGGCAGGGAGUGGGCCCCGCUCGCCGCCAUUGGCUGUGUGGCUGCCGGGCGGAGGGAAGCCUCCCGCUGCGCCCGCCGCCAGCCCGUGCGCCCCAGCCGCGCGCAGCACCGGUGCGCUCCACCAUUCCCGCCGACCGCUUCUCCUGCGCAGAUCGGCGAGACCCGGAGCGCCUGCGAGGAGCUCGACGCAGCCCGUCCCACCCCGAGCUCGGGAGCCGGCAGGGGACAUCCGCGCGCCCCGAUCCGCAGUGUCAAUGGACACCUGGCACCUGCCGCCUUUGCUUGGAAACUGAGAAGUUCUGUUGUGCUGCAGUGUUUGCUGAGGCUAUCACAGCAGAAGGAAUGCUGAUUCUGUCCCUUUUAACCCCUGUGUGAAACUGACUUUCAUACACUGUGCAUUCUGUGACCUUCGGUAAAGAUGUCUGAACCUGACUCUUCCUCUGCAUUCUCGGGGAGUGUGGAGAACGGAACUUUCCUCCAGCUGUUUCCCACAUCCCUGUCCACAUCGGUGGACCCGUCCUCGAGCCACCUGUCAAAUGUCUACAUCUAUGUGUCCAUAUUCCUCAGCCUGUUAGCCUUUCUGCUCCUGCUUUUAAUCAUCGCCCUCCAGAGGCUCAAAAAUAUCAUCUCCUCCAGUUCCUCCUACCCGGAGUAUCCAAGCGACGCUGGGAGUUCUUUCACCAACUUGGAAGUCUGCAGUAUUUCCUCGCAAAGGUCCACUUUUUCAAACCUUUCCUCCUGAAGAAAAUGGAAGAAUCUUUCAGUGCCGUGGCCGCUGAAGUUUUCCCUCAGGGGAAGUAUCACAGGAAGCAGGCACUUCAGGAAAGAAAUGCCCAUGUUGUUCUUUUUCACCAAUUAGACCUGGUUCUCCUCCUCC
rnacentral:lncRNA from 1 species